rnacentral:lncRNA from 1 species
AGCUGCAUGCAGGAGGUGGUGGAAGAGCUGGUGGAUGGCUUCGGGUACUCCAUCUCCCUGGACAGGGGCCAGCUGCACCGCGCCACCAUCAAUAAUCAGGGCUGCUCUGAGAGUGAAGAUGAGUCCACUGUGUCUGUAACUGAGGCCUGCAGGAUGCGUGCCCUCCAGGCAGGCAUGAUGCAGAGGCUCUCAGAGUCUGUGCUGCCAGGCUUCCCCAGCAGAGUCCUCUGCAGUGUCAUCACCUCCCUCUGCAGCUGCUCAGGCUCCAGCACAGCCCACCAGGUGCUGGACCAGCUGUUUCCCAGGUCCCAUCUACCCUCCAUCCCGGGCGAUGCCCUCAUCCCCUUUGGGACACAUGGAGGCAGCUUGGCCCAUUGAGUGCAGGAUGCUGGAGGACAGGACCACCUCCCAAAUGCUAUCUAUUUCCUGCUGGGAACCUGGCUGGGCCAAGGGCAGGAUUGCAGGGAGCCCCUGCGGUUUCCCUCUUGGACCCUGCAGCUGGCCACUCUGCACAUUAGCUUUGGUGGCUGCCAUGUGGAGGGCCAUGCCUACCUUCUGCCAGGCCACCUGGAGCAUCUCAAGGCCAUUGAGGCCGAACGGAAAGAGCCAGCUCCAAAGCUCCUGCCACUUCCAGAGCCAGAGCCAGUGCCAGCCCCCGGGCUGGAGCCAGCUGCACCUCCAGUCUCACCACGUGUGGUAUAGCUGGAGCCAGCAGCCCCUGAGUCGGCCACUCCAGGACCAGGGCAAGGGCCACCAUUAGAGGCAGCCCCAG